ACGCACGCUGGCGGCGUGCCUCAUACAUGCACGUUGAGCGCUGAAGGUUGGUACUUGUACCGACUGGAUGAGCAGCGAACGGGUGAGUAACGCGUGGGGAAUCUGCCUUUGAGCGGGGGACAACAUUUGGAAACGAAUGCUAAUACCGCAUAAAAACUUUAAACACAAGUUUUAAGUUUGAAAGAUGCAAUUGCAUCACUCAAAGAUGAUCCCGCGUUGUAUUAGCUAGUUGGUGAGGUAAAGGCUCACCAAGGCGAUGAUACAUAGCCGACCUGAGAGGGUGAUCGGCCACAUUGGGACUGAGACACGGCCCAAACUCCUACGGGAGGCAGCAGUAGGGAAUCUUCGGCAAUGGACGAAAGUCUGACCGAGCAACGCCGCGUGAGUGAAGAAGGGUUUCGGAUCGUAAAACUCUGUUGGUAGAGAAGAACGUUGGUGAGAGUGGAAAGCUCAUCAAGUGACGGUAACUACCCAGAAAGGGACGGCUAACUACGUG
rnacentral:rRNA from 1 species